AACGAACGCUGGCGGCAUGCCUAACACAUGCAAGUCGAACGAGACCUUCGGGUCUAGUGGCGCACGGGUGCGUAACGCGUGGGAACCUGCCCUUAGGUUCGGAAUAACUCCCCGAAAGGGGUGCUAAUACCGGAUAAUGUCUUCGGACCAAAGAUUUAUCGCCUUUGGAUGGGCCCGCGUUGGAUUAGCUAGUUGGUAGGGUAAAAGCCUACCAAGGCGACGAUCCAUAGCUGGUCUAAGAGGAUGAUCAGCCACACUGGGACUGAGACACGGCCCAGACCCCUACGGGGGGCAGAAGGGGGGAAUAUGGGACAAGGGGCGAAAGCCUGAUCCAGCAAUGCCGGGGGAGGGAUGAAGGCUUUAGGGUUGUAAAGCUUUUUUACCCGGGAUGAUAAUGACAGUACCGGGAGAAUAAGCCCCGGCUAACUCCGU
rnacentral:rRNA from 1 species